AUUGAACGCUGGCGGCAGGCUUAACACAUGCAAGUCGAGCGCGCGGCGGACGGGUGAGUAAUGUAUGGGAAACUGCCUGAUGGAGGGGGAUAACUACUGGAAACGGUAGCUAAUACCGCAUACCAUCAGAUGUGCCCAGAUGGGCGUAGCUAGUAGGUGGGGUAAUGGCUCACCUAGGCGACGAUCCCUAGCUGGUCUGAGAGGAGGACCAGCCACACGGGAACUGAGACACGGUCCAGACUCCGACGGGAGGCAGCAGUGGGGAAUAUUGCACAAUGGGCGAAAGCCUGAGGCAGCCAGGCCGCGUGUGUGAAGAAGGCCUUCGGGUUGUAAAGCACUUUCAGCGAGGAGGCGUUACUCGCAGAAGAAGCACCGGCUAACUCCGUGCCAGCAGCCGCGGUAAUAC
rnacentral:rRNA from 1 species